rnacentral:lncRNA from 1 species
AGAUAGGGUUUUGUACAUUUAGAGGACAUUUAGAUCAUUGGAGACCUGUCCUAGAAGAGGAUAUUGAAACCCAAGUCUCUUUUCUUUUUCAUUUUUUUCUUUUCUUUUUUUUUCUUUUUGUUGUUGUUGUUGUUUUGGUUGUUUAGUUGUUUGGUUUUUCUAAGUAUCAGCUAUAGUAUUUCAGCUCCAUCAUGUUUUCUUGCAUGACAACAUACUGCCUCCUCCCUCAACCCCAAAGCCUAUAGGUAAUGUCUCUGCCUGAUCUGGGGAUAGAACCUUCAAAACUACACACCCAAAUCAACCUUUUCUCUUUGCAGGUACAGACUACAGCAACAAAAAUAUGGCACAGUUGUUGUUUCUGACCUCUAACCGGCUCCAUGUGGCACCUGAGAGAUGGAUGUAGAGCUUCAAGGCUUUCUCUAUACUGCAAAGCAAUUUAUUCUGUAGUCUAAAGAUCCAGGUCAGAUGUGUUGGUGUUACACAAGAGGGUAACUUAGAAGCUGCAGCCCCAAGUCAGGACAUUCUCUAGAGAACCAACACUAUUUGAUGCAGAAGGUAUGAGUUAAAAAUAGAGUGACUUAGGAUUUCUAUUCUAUGCACAAACAUCAUGACCAUGAAGCAAGUUGGGGAGGAAAGGGUUUAUUCAGCUUACACUUCUCAUAUUGCUGUUCAUUACCAAAGGAAGUCAGGACUGGAACUCAAGCAGGUCAGGAGGCAGGAGCUGAUGCAGAGGCCAUGGAGGGAUGUUACUGGCUUGCUUCACCUGUUUUGCUCAGCUUGCUUUCUUAUAGAACCCAAGACUACCAGCCCAGGAUAGCACCACCCACAAUGGGCCCUCCCCAAUUGAUCAGUAAUUGAGAAAAUGCCUUGCAGCUGGAUCUCAUGGAGGCAUUUCCUCAAGGGAGGCUCCUUUCUCUGUGGUAACUCCAGCUUGUGUCAAGUUGACACGCAACACCAGCCAGUACACAGAGGAAGAGCACUGGAAUGUUUUCCCGGUGGGUACCAUAUCACUGGGUGUCUGUGCUGUGUCUGCAUGCCUUCCCAAUCUCAUUCACCACCAUCCCUAUACUAAAGACAAAAUCAGGAUCUGAGUGAUUCAGUAGAAGGCAGGAGGCCUGCAGCUGUCAGCAUAGUGAAGCCAUUGUUGCUAGCCCCUCACACUGCCUGAGUAUCUGGCAAUUUCUAGUCCAACCUCAGAGCCCUUGCUGAGAAAAUCCUUGUCCCUGAGUUCUGUGUGGGCUAACUGCCAGGUUCUAUGCUCAACCUGGAGGAAGUUGGUCUAAUGGUACUUUCAGCAAGGACUGCCCUUACUUGCUCUCCCAAUCCCCUUCCAUUCAUUACAGGGCCUGAACACCCAGAGGCCCUGACACAGCACCCACAGGAGCCGUACUUUAUCUUCUGCAGGAGCUAGUGUUGCUAUCCCUGAGAAAGGCCAAGCAUUCCAGGCUCCGUCAAGGAGCCUUGCAUGACUUAUGAAGUUUAUUUAGAGCCUAGGAGUGCCUUCCCUCUGGUGCAGAGAAGCUAUGUCUCCUCCUGGCUAGAGGCCUGGACAAUUAUGUGCUGGAAGAUUGGCUGGCAAAAAGCUGCAAGGCUCUCUCCAAACUGCAAAGCAAUUUAUUCUGGAAUCUGAAGAUUCAGGCCAGGAAUGAGGGUAUUUGGGCAAGAAGGUACUGAAGACCUUAAAGAUGUUCGUAAGGAAGUAGCUCAGAUGCCUUCAAAUCUGUGCUAAGCAGAUCACUCAAAGAGAGGCAAUACAAGUAGUAACAUGCUUGCUCUCCAAACAGCAAUAGUCUUCAUUAGUCAGAAAGCUUGGUGGCUGAAUGUUUAAACCCAUUUUACUGACAAGAACAUUCUGUUGCUACUGAUGCUAAAUUCUCUAUGGAUACAGUGUUCUCUAGUCUGUACUGACAGUGAGUUACUCUGACUGUCCUGUACUUCAUUUCUUCCUUUUGAGACUCGGUUUUAAAACAGAACACAAUAAAACCACCAUUUAUUUAACAGAUGAGACAAGACUUCAAAGGAUGUUGUGGUCUGCUCAUUGAUCUGCCAACUUGAUUGGAUUAAGAAGCACCUGGGACAUUAAUAAAACACAGCUUUAGGGGUAGCUCAAGGCCUUUCUAAACACCACUAGGUCCAGCAGACUCUUAUCUAAUCAGUCUAUGGUUCUUUAUAGAAAUAAAAGAUGGUGGCAGUGCUGGGGGGCGGGCAGUGAGUGAGGAGUAGGGAGUGGCACCUGACUGGAAGAAGCAGGUCACUGGAGCUGCAUGUCCAUGGGAGGCUGUAUCAUGACCUCCCUGCUUCUUGUAUUCUCUGUUUUCUGUCUGCUACGAGUUUAAAAACCUACUCUAUCACAUGAUUCCCCUGUCAUAGUGCCCUGUCCAAGUCUACAGGGCCAGUAACCAGGCAUGUCCUGUCCCAGGGCAGUCUCAGCAGUACUCCAUAAUCCCAAGAAUCCUCUGGUUGAGCAGUUGUCUUAUACCAAGAUCUUCCUCAUUCCCUGGGAACCUCAGCCCAUGCUCCCACACUGCAGAGGGAGAAACUUUGGUGUCUGCAUUUACUCAUGCCAUUUCCUCAGUCUCUAACCCCAGCCCAUCACUCAGCUUUCAUCUUACUGUGACUUUGAAUCCAACCCAUUCCAUAGAUUCCCCCAGAUAGACAAUCUUAUUGGGCCCCAGAGGUUCAGUACAACCACAACCACCUG